AAAUUGAAGAGUUUGAUCAUGGCUCAGAUUGAACGCUGGCGGCAGGCCUAACACAUGCAAGUCGAACGGUAACAGGAAGCAGCUUGCUGCUUCGCUGACGAGUGGCGGACGGGUGAGUAAUGUCUGGGAAACUGCCUGAUGGAGGGGGAUAACUACUGGAAACGGUGGCUAAUACCGCAUAACGUCGCAAGACCAAAGAGGGGGACCUUCGGGCCUCUUGCCAUCAGAUGUGCCCAGAUGGGAUUAGCUUGUUGGUGAGG
rnacentral:rRNA from 3 species